CUACGGGCGGCUGCAGUCACGAAUCUUCCCCAAUGGACGAAAGUCUGAGGGAGCGACGCCGCGUGAAUGAUGACGCCCUUCGGGGUGUAAAAUUCUUUUCUCAGAGAAGAACGUUGACGGUAUCUGAGGAAUAAGGGGCUGCUAAACUCGUGCCAGCAGCAGCGGUAAUACGAGUGCCCCAAGCGUUAUCCGGAUUUAUUGGGCGUAAAGCGUCCGCAGGUGGUUUUCUAAGUCUUGCCUCAAAUCUUGAUGCUCAACAUUAAGGCUGGGUGAGAAACUGGAUUACUAGAGAGUGGGAGAGGUCAGUAGAAUGGCUGGUGUAGGGGUUAAAUCCGUUAAUAUCAGCUGGAAUACCAAAAGCGAAGGCAGCUGACUGGAACACUUCUGACACUCAUGGACGAAAGCGUGGGGAGCGAACGGGAUUAGAUACCCUGGUAGUC
rnacentral:rRNA from 1 species